rnacentral:sRNA from 2 species
ACAUAGCCCUGAUGGGAACGGCAUCCUUUUUUGUCUGUUUUUAACGGACAAAAAAGAUACAGUGGACAGCAGGCUGGAAC